rnacentral:rRNA from 1 species
GAUGAACGCUGGCGGCGUGCCUAAUACAUGCAAGUCGAACGCACAGCGAAAGGUGCUUGCAUCCUUCAAGUGAGUGGCGAACGGGUGAGUAACACGUGGAUAACCUACCUCAAGGUUGGGGAUAACAUUUGGAAACAGAUGCUAAUACCGAAUAAAACUUCGUAUCGCAUGAUACAAGGUUAAAAGGCGCUACGGCGUCACCUAGAGAUGGAUCCGCGGUGCAUUAGUAGUUGGUGGGUAAAGGCCUACCAAGACAAUGAUGCAUAGCCGAGUUGAGAGACUGAUCGGCCACAUUGGGACUGAGACACGGCCCAAACUCCUACGGGAGGCUGCAGUAGGGAAUCUU